GACGUAGGGCGCGAGCGUUGUCCGGAAUUAUUGGGCGUAAAGAGCUUGUAGGCGGUUUGUCGCGUCUGCCGUGAAAAUUCGAGGCUCAACCUCGAACUUGCGGUGGGUACGGGCAGACUAGAGUGUGGUAGGGGAGACUGGAAUUCCUGGUGUAGCGGUGAAAUGCGCAGAUAUCAGGAGGAACACCGAUGGCGAAGGCAGGUCUCUGGGCCACUACUGACGCUGAGAAGCGAAAGCAUGGGGAGCGAACAGG
rnacentral:rRNA from 1 species